rnacentral:sRNA from 1 species
GAGGGGUCGGUGGCUGCUGGGCUGGCGGGGCGCAGGCCGCGGGACCCGAGCCCGGGGGAGCGAGAGAGCGGAGGCGCCGAGGAUCCGAUUCAUUCGCUGGGGAGACCUAUGGGCCGAAGCCGUGUAGAUGCGUUUUAAGGCGAGUGCGGAAAGUGGCCUGGGGAGCCUCGGGGAGCGGACGCCCUCCGCCCUGGUGCUGACCUGCCCCCCUGCCCCUUCUGCCUCCUGUCAGCAGGGGCCUCGGCUCCGCAACUGCCACUCCUCCUCGGGGUGUUGCACAAGUUUCGAGGUCACCGGCGACCCCCCCUAGCAGCGCUCCUGGCUCUGGCCCCCGCGAAGGAGGACGGAGUUUGUGUGUUGCAUACUUUCUAAGGCGGCGGCUGCAGCAGCGGCUCCAUCCAGCCCGUCAGCUCCUCCUGCAAGGCAUGGCUGGCUACCUGAGUGAAUCGGACUUUGUGAUGGUGGAGGAGGGCUUCAGUACCCGAGACCUGCUGAAGGAACUCACUCUGGGGGCCUCACAGGCCACCACGGACGAGGUAGCUGCCUUCUUCGUGGCUGACCUGGGUGCCAUAGUGAGGAAGCACUUUUGCUUUCUGAAGUGCCUGCCACGAGUCCAGCCCUUUUACACUGUCAAGUGCAACAGCAGCCCAGGUGUGCUAAAGGUUCUGGCCCAGCUGGGGCUGGGCUUUAGCUGUGCCAACAAGGCAGAGAUGGAGUUGGUCCAGCAUAUUGGAAUCCCUGCCAGUAAGAUCAUCUGCGCCAACCCCUGUAAGCAAAUUGCACAGAUCAAAUAUGCUGCCAAGCAUGGGAUCCAGCUGCUGAGCUUUGACAAUGAGAUGGAGCUGGCAAAGGUGGUAAAGAGCCACCCCAGUGCCA